CAGCAAUAGGUGCUGCUAGGCAUUCGCUCUUUCAAUAAGAGAUUUUAAAAAUUUGAACCAUAACUUCUUCUGAAUAUUCGUAAUUUUAACAUUAUUUAUGUUGUUUACCAGAUUAGUUGCAUUUGACAAGUUCAACCGCAGUGUGUCAGCAACUGUAUGAAAAAUGUCUUUUUAUUUGAAUGGAUCUACGUUUUAUCGACUGGAAUGAACACUGACUUGCGGGACAUAGUACUGAGCUCUCACCUGGAAUAUUAGAAAUGCAAUUAUCCAGUUUCCCAAAAAGCAGGAAUAUAAUGAACUUCAGGAUAAGGUAGCAGUCACUAUCAACUGAAACAAAGUGGAAGUCAAAGAUGCAAAGUCCAGCAAGUUAGAAUACUAGUGAUGGUAGAAGAAUUACUGAAGCAGAUUGUUCUUAAAAAGCCGCAAUUGUAGAAUAUUUGGAAUGAAUAACUAUGUGUUUAGCUCUUUUCUUGUAAGCAUUUAUGGAAAUAUUCAUGGAUCACACUAGAGGGUAGCAAUUGAUGGUGAAUGCAUUACUGAUUUGAAAAAAAAAAAAAAAAAGAGAAUCUUUUGGCAUCAACCCCUGGU